rnacentral:rRNA from 1 species
GACAGAGGCCUCAAGCGUUAGGCGGAAUCACUGGGCUUAAAGCGUGUGUAGGCGGAUCGUUAAGUGUCUUGUGAAAUCCCACGGCUCACCCGUGGAACGGCUGGGCAUACUGGCGAUCUUGGGCCAACUAGGGGCAACUGGAACAAGCGGUGGAGCGGUGAAAUGCGUAGAUAUCGCUUGGAACGCCGAAGGUGAAAACAGGUUGCUGGGGUUGUGCCGACGCUGAGACACGAAAGCCAGGGGAGCAAACGGG